rnacentral:rRNA from 1 species
ACUCCUACGGGAGGAGCAGUGGGGAAUUUUGGACAAUGGGGGCAACCCUGAUCCAGCCAUGCCGCGUGAGUGAAGAAGGCCUUCGGGUUGUAAAGCUCUUUCCCGGGAAGAAAUCACAUGGGUUAAUACCCUGUGUGGAUGACGGUACCGGAAUAAGAAGCACCGGCUAACUACGUGCCACGCCGCGGUAAUACGUAGGUGCGAGCGUUAAUCAAUUACUGGGCGUAAACGUGCGCAGGCGGUUUGUUAAGAUAGGCGUGAAAUCCCCGGGCUCAACCUGGGAACUGCGUUUAUGACUGGCAGGCUAAGUAUGGCAGAGGGGGGUGGAAUUCCACGUGUAGCAUGAAAUGCGUAGAGAUGUGGAGGACACCGAUGGCGAAGGCAGCCCCCUGGGCCAAUACUGACGCUCAUGCACAAAGCGUGGGUAGCAAACAGGAUUAGAUACCCUGGUAGUCCACGCCCUAAACGAUGUCAACUAGGUGUUGGGUGGGUAAAACCAUUUAGUACCGGAGCUAACGCGUGAAGUUGACCGCCUGGGGAGUACGGCCGCAAGGUUAAAACUCAAAUGAAUUGACGGA